rnacentral:rRNA from 1 species
UAGUGGCGGACGGGUGAGUAACACGUGAGCAACCUGCCUAUCAGAGGGGGAUAACGAUUGGAAACGAUCGCUAAUACCGCAUGACAUAGCGGAACCGCAUGGUUUUGUUAUCAAAGAUUUUAUCGCUGAUAGAUGGGCUCGCGUCCGAUUAGAUAGUUGGUGGGGUAACGGCCUACCAAGUCGACGAUCGGUAGCCGGACUGAGAGGUCGAACGGCCACAUUGGGACUGAGACACGGCCCAGACUCC